rnacentral:rRNA from 1 species
UACGUAGGGGGCAAGCGUUGUCCGGAAUUAUUGGGCGUAAAGUCGCGCGCAGGCGGUCCAUUAAGUCUGGUGUAUAAACCAAAGGCUCAACCUUUGGACGCAUUGGAAACUGGUGGACUGGAGUGUAGGAGAGGAAAGUGGAAUUCCACGUGUAGCGGUGAAAUGCGUAGAGAAUGUGGAGGAACACCAGUGGCGAAGGCGACUUUCUGGCCUAUAACUGACGCUGAGGCGCGAAAGCGUGGGGAGCAAACAGG